rnacentral:rRNA from 1 species
CAAUGGGGGAACCCUGAUGCAGCGACGCCGCGUGGAGGAAGAAGGUCUUCGCGAUUGUAAACUCCUGUUGUUGGGGAAGAUAAUGACGGUACCCAACAAGGAAGUGACGGCUAACUACGUGCCAGCAGCCGCGGUAAAACGUAGGUCACAAGCGUUGUCCGGAAUUACUGGGUGUAAAGGGAGCGCAGGCGGGAAGACAAGUUGGAAGUGAAAUCUAUGGGCUCAACCCAUAAACUGCUUUCAAAACUGUUUUUCUUGAGUAGUGCAGAGGUAGGCGGAAUUCCCGGUGUAGCGGUGGAAUGCGUAGAUAUCGGGAGGAACACCAGUGGCGAAGGCGGCCUACUGGGCACCAACUGACGCUGAGGCUCGAAAGUGUGGGUAGCAAACAGGAUUAGAUACCCUGGUAGUCCAAGGGCGAAUUC